rnacentral:rRNA from 1 species
GACGAACGCUGGCGGCGUGCCUAAUACAUGCAAGUAGAACGCUGAAGAGAGGAGCUUGCUCUUCUUGGAUGAGUUGCGAACGGGUGAGUAACGCGUAGGUAACCUGCCUUGUAGCGGGGGAUAACUAUUGGAAACGAUAGCUAAUACCGCAUAACAAUGGAUGACACAUGUCAUUUAUUUGAAAGGGGCAAUUGCUCCACUACAAGAUGGACCUGCGUUGUAUUAGCUAGUAGGUGAGGUAACGGCUCACCUAGGCGACGAUACAUAGCCGACCUGAGAGGGUGAUCAGCCACACUGGGACUGAGACACGGCCCAGACUCCUACGGGAGGCAGCAGUAGGGAAUCUUCGGCAAUGGGGGCAACCCUGACCGAGCAACGCCGCGUGAGUGAAGAAGGUUUUCGGAUCGUAAAGCUCUGUUGUAAGUCAAGAACGAGUGUGAGAGUGGAAAGUUCACACUGUGACGGUAGCUUACCAGAAAGGGACGGCUAACUACGUGCCAGCAGCCGCGGUAAUACGUAGGUCCCGAGCGUUGUCCGGAUUUAUUGGGCGUAAAGCGAGCGCAGCGGUUUGAUAAGUCUGAAGUUAAAGGCUGUGGCUCAACCAUAGUUCGCUUUGGAAACUGUCAAACUUGAGUGCAGAAGGGGAGAGUGGAAUUCCAUGUGUAGCGGUGAAAUGCGUAGAUAUAUGGAGGAACACCGGUGGCGAAAGCGGCUCUCUGGUCUGUAACUGACGCUGAGGCUCGAAAGCGUGGGGAGCGAACAGGAUUAGAUACCCUGGUAGUCCACGCCGUAAACGAUGAGUGCUAGGUGUUGGAUCCUUUCCGGGAUUCAGUGCCGCAGCUAACGCAUUAAGCACUCCGCCUGGGGAGUACGACCGCAAGGUUGAAACUCAAAGGAAUUGACGGGGGCCCGCACAAGCGGUGGAGCAUGUGGUUUAAUUCGAAGCAACGCGAAGAACCUUACCAGGUCUUGACAUCCCGAUGCUAUUUCUAGAGAUAGAAAGUUACUUCGGUACAUCGGUGACAGGUGGUGCAUGGUUGUCGUCAGCUCGUGUCGUGAGAUGUUGGGUUAAGUCCCGCAACGAGCGCAACCCCUAUUGUUAGUUGCCAUCAUUCAGUUGGGCACUCUAGCGAGACUGCCGGUAAUAAACCGGAGGAAGGUGGGGAUGACGUCAAAUCAUCAUGCCCCUUAUGACCUGGGCUACACACGUGCUACAAUGGUUGGUACAACGAGUUGCGAGUCGGUGACGGCAAGCUAAUCUCUUAAAGCCAAUCUCAGUUCGGAUUGUAGGCUGCAACUCGCCUACAUGAAGUCGGAAUCGCUAGUAAUCGCGGAUCAGCACGCCGCGGUGAAUACGUUCCCGGGCCU